UAAAAGACGGUCUUACGAGAAAAACCGCCUUGUUGUCACUUAAGCUUCCACGUAAAUUACUGACAUCGGCAAUAUAUAUACUCCUUUUCUUUUCAUUUUCCCAAACCCUAAUUCAUUUCCCCCUCUCUCUCCUGAAUACUGCCCCUCUCUCUCUCUCCUGAACACUGCCCCUCUCUCUCCUCUCCAUAAGCUUGACGGCGGAGCCUCUCCAUAGGCUUGACAGCGGCGCAUAAGCUUCACUCUUUCAUCUCUCCUCCAUAAGCUUGACGGCGGCGCAAGGCUUGACAGAGGCGAUGGCGGAGCUUCGAUGUCGGAGCUUCUAUGGCGGAAUAGCCGAAAUAGGAUAGCCAGGUGGUGGUUGUGAUCAAGGUGGCGCCGGUGAUUCGCCUCGUUGCAACAGCCGUCGGAGAUGGGAGAAUAAAGCGGAAUGGAACGGAGGAUCGAACGACGGUGGUGGCUGAGGUGGAUAAAGGAUGAGAGGUGAAGGAGAUCGAGAGAGUCGCGGGCCUGCUGAUGGUUGUGGUUGCGCGUCGGCGCGGAGAUGGGAGGAGAACGGAAUGAAAAGGAAUAUAUAUUGAACAGCGGUGGGCCGAUGGGAGGAGAAUCGCACCAGACUGAUGAUUCGUAGCUUGAAGCACUGUGACUGUUGUUGAUGUUGGUCGAAUAUACUGGUGUUUCGUUUUAGUUUUAGUUUUAGUUAAGAAUUGUAAUGUUUUAGUUACACUUUUUUUGGUAUUUAGUUAAGAAUAACUAUGUUUUAGUUUUAGUUAUAAUUCUGAAAUAAUGGUCUUUUUAGUGGAA